rnacentral:rRNA from 1 species
UGGCUAACUCCUACGGGAGGCAGCAGUGAGGAAUAUUGGUCAAUGGGUGCAAGCCUGAACCAGCCAUCCCGCGUGAAGGACGACUGCCCUAUGGGUUGUAAACUUCUUUUGUAUAGGGAUAAACCUACCCUCGUGAGGGUAGCUGAAGGUACUAUACGAAUAAGCACCGGCUAACUCCGUGCCAGCAGCCGCGGUAAUACGGAGGGUGCAAGCGUUAUCCGGAUUUAUUGGGUUUAAAGGGUCCGUAGGCGGACUUAUAAGUCAGUGGUGAAAGCCUGUCGCUUAACGAUAGAACUGCCAUUGAUACUGUAAGUCUUGAGUAUAUUUGAGGUAGCUGGAAUAAGUAGUGUAGCGGUGAAAUGCAUAGAUAUUACUUAGAACACCAAUUGCGAAGGCAGGUUACCAAGAUAUAACUGACGCUGAGGGACGAAAGCGUGGGGAGCGAACAGGAUUAGAAACCCCGGUAGUCCAGCUGG